UAUAUACUCCCUCCGUCCGAAAAUACUUGUCAUAGGAAUGUACGUAUCUACAUGUAUUUUAGUUCUAGAUACAUUCAUUUUUAUCUAUUUGUGUGACAAGUAAUUUCCGACGGAGGGAGUAUAUC
rfam:Hordeum vulgare subsp. vulgare, WGS project CAJW01000000 data, contig: morex_contig_2548231